rnacentral:misc_RNA from 1 species
GUGAUGAUUCCCCCGAGGAUAAGGUAAUAGUGAAACUCCUGGAAUCUUUGCUUUGCAAGCAAGUAGAGUUUUGAGUUUUGAAUCAUGCUUGGAGCUUGUGAUUUAGUUCCAAUGUUAGCAGCUCAGGGGAAUUGGAUUUAUUAGAUUGAUUAACGUUCCUGUGAACGUAACUUUGGGAAAGGCGAGGGAUUGAUUCGAAGUUCCAAACAUAAGAACAAAUGAAGAUCAAUUGCUCUCUAAACUGGAAAUUGCUCACUUUAGUUUUAUGUUUCAGUUGCAUCAUGAUGACUUUACUUUCAAUUAAAGCAUGGUCAAAUUUUCCUUUGAAAAUUGGUCACAAGAUGAAGAAGAUGAAUCCUAUUCUAUGAACAUGGAUCUUGUUUAAAUUUCUAGGCUAUGAUCAUCUUUUUCAGGAUUACAUUUUUGUGUCAAUUAUACCUUUGACGAGCUUUUUUUAAAUGGUAUCUCUGACAUCAUAUUUUGAGCCUUUCAAUGCCUUCUGUUGAUUGAGUCCUUGUUUUUUAAUUAUUAUUAUUAUUAUCAUGAAUUUUUGUUUCUUAAUUUUGCCAUAGUUGGCCAAUGACAUAUCUUGAUUCUGAAUGUAAGAAUGUCUAUUGUUUGAUGAUUGGCCACUUUUAUUUUCAUUUCCAUCAAGGGAUAUGCUAUGUAAAAGUUUGAAAUAUCUGUCAAGAAGUUUCAAUUCAAGUGGGAAUUUUAUGAAAUAGAUAGUUCAUGAAAACAGAAAAUGAAAAAAAGAAAUCUUGGUGGUAGAUCAGACUUUAAAUCUCUGUCAAGAAGUUUUAAUUCAAGCGGUGAGAAUUUUAUGAAAUAGAGAGUUCAUGAAAGUAGAAAAAGAUAAAAAUAAUCUUGGUGGUUGAUCAGAAUUAAUUCUCUCUUUGUUUUUCUGUAAGUUGUCAUGAAUCAGGAUUUGAAUGGUAGGUUUUGACUGGUAAAUGUGAGAAAUGUAAUGCUUAUGGAUCAUGAUCACCAUUGGAAACUUUGACCAUAUAUACAUAUUUGAAUUGUGGGUUGCUUGAUUGCUUAAUAAAUUAGCAAAUCUUAACAUUUUUUCAAGGUUCUAAUCAAUGCUUUUGAUUAUGAAUUAUCACUCUCAUCUUAUGCAUAAACAAUAAUAUGAGCUUUAAGGGUUGAGAGGUCUUAAAGUCGACUCUAUAUUAAUAACAAUAAAUAAAUGAACUUUUAAGUCAGGGGAGGUUGAAUUUUGGCUUGUGG